UCGUCUGAUUUCCUGUAAUUUGGAGGGAAUACACAAAAGGUAUCACACCGGUAAUUGUCCAAUCAAAAUGAACUUAGUCAAUUGUAGUUCCAUAUAUUUAAAGAAUUGUAGUUCCAUUGUAGUUCCAUAUAUUUAAAGAAUUGUAGUUCCAUAUAUUUAAAGAAAUAUUUUUUUUCCUUGCGCGAUUUUUCUCAUUUCCUCUUCUUCUUUUCACUUAAUUUUUGUACCCCUGAUUAGGAAAUUUUGUGUAAUUUGUAGAAAUAAUCAAGUGUAUACAAAGGAACUAUUUGCUGUUGGUAGCUGAGGCUACUUCCUGAGGUGCACUCCGGCUGUUUACACACAUGUGAAAAACACGUGGAUUUGAGGGUAGUCUUGUUUGCGGGAAUCUGUAAAGAUACAACAUGCACAAAACUAGUAUCUGGAGAGUCUUCCCCAGUACGACCUGUUUAUUCCCGGAUUGCAGAGGAUCAACAUCCGGCAGCACGAGGAGAUUGCCCGCGGUUAUGGUACAUGCCAGACAUAUAGCAAAACCUACCCGAAGAUUAGAGACCGACAGCAGCGAUUUCUCGCAUUUGAGAAGCAGUAGACGAUGUUUGACGGUUGAUUAUAGCCGAUAAAUGGACUUUAUUUCCAGUUCACCAUGACGAUGCGAGAG